GCAACGAAAUAUAACAAAGAGCUGUUUUGACCUAUAUUGUUUCAGCUAAGCACAACAAAACUGAAAUACAGGCGAAAAGUAAAUAAGUCAAGACUAAGCAACCAGGGAAGCGCUCAGUCAGAAGAUAGGCAGCAAUCUCACGGGAUACAGGUGCACAUUUUUACGACAAAAGACAAACCAUUCACUCACCAUUCACACAAACACAAAGUUGUUUUUAAUUAUCAGGCAAAUAAAUUAAGAAUAUAA
rnacentral:lncRNA from 1 species